AUCCUGGACUCUGGUUCGCGUUGUAGAGAAAGCGGUUCUGUAAUACAGUACGCAUUCUCAACGAAUAAACGGCUCAGCGAUGGGCCGUUUAUUUU
rnacentral:sRNA from 1 species